GAUUUAUUAGAAAUUCAAGUAAGUUUUGCUAUACGAAUAAUACACUCAGGCAAUUCAAUAUAUAUUCUUGCCUAUGUUGAAUGAUGGACGGUUACAUUUUACUGUGUAUAUAUUUUGAUGAUUAUAUUUCUUCUCAAACAGUCCUAACCAGUUUCUGAGAAAGUAUUUUCUUUGCCUAAAUAUAUGCAAAACUAUAAUUAAGCCAACAGCACUUAUAGACAAGCUGAAUGGCUUAGGACAGUUGAUUUUUUGUGCAUCAUUUUCUUCAUCUGAAUAUGAGAGUUGUAUAUACAGUUUCUAUACUUUCUACCAGCUCUGAGAUUCUGUUAAUUCUAAUGAAAAAUAAGAAUAAAGACAAAUUAUACAUUGAAAUUCUCAAGAUCAUAGUGAAUAUUAUGCAAGGUAGACAGGUACCUACAUUUAUCAUUUUGUUGGUGAUCCUGCUUCUAUCAAAAUUCAUGCCACAAAUUACUUCAUCUACAAAUAUUCCUGACACCCAUAGAGCACAACACAUUAAAAAAUGGACUAGUGGACUGGGGAGGCCCUUCUGAGAUGCACUGUCUCCUUUCUAAACAUACUCUAUUUUCUGGGGACAUCCAGCAUGGAACAGUAGUCAGAGGCCAAGAACUACAGUAAAAAAAGGGGGUGGGAAAAGGGGAAUGAGAGGAAGGAAAGUAAAAUAUAGAAUUGUCAAAGAGGUAAAAUCAAGUGGAAAGUGUGGGGACACAGGAAUGGGGCGGGGAAUAGAAACCAACUGGGAAAUGGAUUCAGCGAGAACUACCUACAGCACAUCUUCAAAACUGGGAGCCUGAUUCACUGUCAGACGCAGAAGUGUCUUCUUCCCAGACUCUGAGCUCCAGUAGCCACAUCUUUAAAUUGCCUGACUCCAACAGCUGAUUUGGUUGCCACCACAUAAAUAGAAAUUAUAGCUUUCAACCCUUCAUUUUAUCUCUCUUACCUAUAAUCCUCUAGUUCCAGUCUGUCUGACCACUUGACAAAGGUUUCUUCGUUUUUGUUUUGUUUUGUUUCAACAUUAGUGCAGCAUUGGGGGAACACUUAAAUACGUUUUACACAUAGAGAACAGUAGACAGCCCUGGAAACCCUAGACGAGAAAAGAUAUAUCCUGCUGGGAACAUAAAAUGGCGCACAGGACACACACUAAUGAUUCUUGUAAUUGAGAUUGUCAUGUGUCUUAUUAAAAGCCAUCAUUUACCUGGAGGUCUUUCUUGAAAAAAAAUGCAAAGAUGCUUUACAGAUUUUACUUAAGAAUGUUUCUCAAAGCCUUACUGAUCUAUUUUCAUAGGUAUGUUGUUUGGUUAGGUCCUUCAAAGGGCUUCAAGGUUUACUUUUAUAUUUAAAAAGAGUGAAGAUGAAAGCUAUUAUUUGAAUACAGCAUUGCAUUCAGUGGCACCAAGAUGCUUAUUACAAGUGCCCCGAUGAGACAGUCGAAGCGUCUCAUGGAAGCCAGUCUCCUCUAAUGUGUAUUUUGGUGCCCUGUCUGCUGGUUCGCCUAAGUGAUGUGGCAUACAUUUGAUGAAAGGACAGUAAAUGACAUCAAUUAUAAAAGACAUCUACUAAUGAGAGGAAGAAGAGGAAGAGAGAGAAAUUGAAAAAAAGAAUAAGAAAUUCUCUGAAAUGGAAACAGCAAAGCACUUUGAUUGAACUAAAAGAAAUGACGUACCUUAAUCAUGCCCUAAUUUUAGGGUACCACCAACCAAGCUACUCACUCUUCUUUGGAAAGAUGACGUGUUUCUUCAACUUCUGUACAACUGUCAUUGAAGAUUUAAAUCAAUCUCCCUUCAGUUUCCAUCAUUGAUUGUUGGUAAUUUUGCCAGGAUCUCUGUACAAAACAAAACAAAAAGAUAUUAUGUGAAACUCAGGCUGGUAGGAAUAAAAUCUCUCCUCC
rnacentral:lncRNA from 10 species